rnacentral:rRNA from 1 species
AACGAACGCUGGCGGCAUGCCUAACACAUGCAAGUCGAACGAGACCUUCGGGUCUAGUGGCGCACGGGUGCGUAACGCGUGGGAACCUGCCCUUAGGUUCGGAAUAACUCCCCGAAAGGGGUGCUAAUACCGGAUAAUGUCUUCGGACCAAAGAUUUAUCGCCUUUGGAUGGGCCCGCGUUGGAUUAGCUAGUUGGUAGGGUAAAAGCCUACCACGGCGACGAUCCAUAGCUGGUCUGAGAGGAUGAUCAGCCACACUGAGACUGAGACACGGCCCAGACUCCUACGGGAGGCAGCAGUGGGGAAUAUUGGACAAUGGGCGAAAGCCUGAUCCAGCAAUGCCGCGUGAGUGAUGAAGGCCUUAGGGUUGUAAAGCUCUUUUACCCGGGAUGAUAAUGACAGUACCGGGAGAAUAAGCUCCGGCUAACUCCGUG